GACGAACGCUGGCGGCGUGCUCAACACAUGCAAGUCGAACGGAAAGGCCCUGCUUUUGUGGGGUGCUCGAGUGGCGAACGGGUGAGUAACACGUGAGUAACCUGCCCUUGACUUUGGGAUAACUUCAGGAAACUGGGGCUAAUACCGGAUAGGAGCUCCUGCUGCGUGGUGGGGGAUGGAAAGUUUCGGCGGUUGGGGAUGGACUCGCGGCUUAUCAGCUUGUUGGUGGGGUAGUGGCUUACCAAGGCUAUGACGGGUAGCCGGCCUGAGAGGGUGACCGGCCACAUGGGGACUGAGAUACGGCCCAGACUCCUACGGUAGGCAGCAGUGGGGAAUAUUGCACAAUGGGCGGAAGCCUGAUGCAGCAACGCCGCGUGCGUGAUGACGGCCUUUGGGUUGUAAACCGCUUUCGCCUGUGACGAAGCGUGAGUGACGGUAAUGGGUAAAGAAGCACCGGCUAACUACGUG
rnacentral:rRNA from 1 species